CGCAAUGGACGAAAGUCUGACGGAGCAACGCCGCGUGAGCGAUGAAGGCCUUCGGGUCGUAAAGCUCUGUUGUUAGGGAAGAACAAGUAUCGGAGUAACUGCCGGUACCUUGACGGUACCUAACCAGAAAGCCACGGCUAACUACGUGCCAGCAG
rnacentral:rRNA from 1 species